UUCAGUGAUGAAGUUUUCUACGGAAAACAAGAUAAUUUUAGGAAGAGCCGUCCGAUUCGUAACUGACGAAUGCUUCCAUAUUCUGAAG
rnacentral:snoRNA from 1 species